UUUUAUCAGAGAGUUUGAUCCUGGCUCAGGAUGAACGCUGGCGGCGUGCUUAACACAUGCAAGUCGAGCGAAGCGGCUGAAUUGAUUCUUCGGAUGAUUUUCAGUUGAC
rnacentral:rRNA from 1 species